AAAAGUUUCGACGUUCAGUAGCGCUGAGUGUGUUUCUUCGUGCUCCGAGACAGUUACGCAGCUCCCAUCUCUUCCCUCUGCCAACCGGUAUUUGGUUUUCACACUUCAAAGCUAAAGCAAGCUGUGCUGCCUCAGUUGAAACCAGGCAGCCGGGCAACCCUGAAGCUAGCAAGACGGAGGCCUGCUCCUGCCAUUAGCGGAGAAAGACUGAGCCCUGCACCAGCCCCGCUGGCCCAUCCUUAACCAACAACUCCACGUGAGCGAGCCCUAGACUUUACGGAAGAGGAGACCACUGGCGUUCUUUGUGACCUUUCCCCUACAAGGCAUGUCCUCAGAUGUUUUGUGUCGCUGAGCCAUCAUGACUCAAUCAAAAUGAAAAAUGAACCUUGAGGGAGAGGAGCAGGGUGGGCCACUGGGCCACUGCCCUGUGACCUGCUUGGCUUGCAGCAGGGGACUGACACCUGCAUGUUCUCACUUGUCCAGGAAGCUGCAGUAGCUCCAACCCCAGCAAAUCCUGCCUCAUUGCCUGCUGGCUAUUUGUUCUGCCUGCUGGGAAGAGGAGGACCAGACCGUCUCUCCCUAAUGUGAAGACAUACUUGCUAGCUCGCGGCAUGAUCUUGUAUCAUCAAAGAGGGGAAGAGCUUAAUUCACAAGAAAUUAAUCCCCUUAUGCCAACGCUGGCUGACCGGCAGGAGGUGUCUCAAGUACAGACUGAGAAAGAUCCUGAAAUCCUGCCUGAUCUCUGUAGGAAAGAGUUUCAUAAGCAUCAGGAAGUCAUCACUGCCAUGGGAAAAGGGGGUUGAUGAGGAAACGUAUACUAAGUAUUUGCCAUUCCUGACUGACCCCAAACUCCUCGUGUAUCAGCAUUUCUUUGUCCUCCUCAGGACAAUGGGAAGAGCUAUUUGGUGGCUUCUAUGUGAUAAAGUUUUGAAUUCCUGUAAAGUAAAAUUGCUGAGUAUAUUAUUUCUGGACAUUCUAGCUAAUAAAAAAGGAGUUGGGGCAGAAUUUUUACGUUUUAUAUAAUAGGUCUUAUGUAUUUUACUCACAUGAUCUUUAGAGUACACUCUAAGUUACU
rnacentral:lncRNA from 1 species